rnacentral:rRNA from 1 species
CAGUCGCCGCGGGAAAACGAAGGGGGCUAGCGUUGCUCGGAAUCACUGGGCGUAAAGGGUGCGUAGGCGGGUCUUUAAGUCAGGGGUGAAAUCCUGGAGCUCAACUCCAGAACUGCCUUUGAUACUGAAGAUCUUGAGUUCGGGAGAGGUGAGUGGAACUGCGAGUGUAGAGGUGAAAUUCGUAGAUAUUCGCAAGAACACCAGUGGCGAAGGCGGCUCACUGGCCCGAUACUGGCGCUGAGGCACGAAAGCGUGGGGAGCAAACAGGAUUAGAUACCCGUGUAGUCCCGUCUCUUAUACA